GCAAAAUAAACUUUAGUUUAUCCAAGACCGUGUAUGUUGACCAACGCCGCCGAAAUAAAUGCCGCUAGUCGUGUGAUCGAGAAAAAAUAAAAAUCGAAAAAGAAAACGAAAAUCGCUAAAAAAGAAAUUGUUGUUGUAGUUAAACAAGAAUUUAUUUACAACGUUGACGUCGUCGUCGUCGUCGCCAUCGUUCACAACCAGCACAUUUUUGAUUAAUUUUUAUUGUCUUAUGUUUUGUUGUUAUUGUCAAAAUGCACUCGCGAGAGGAAAGUGUUUAUAAAUUGAUAAAAAUUUAAACAAAAAAAAUCUUAACAACUAUAACAAUAAUAAUAAAUUUUAAAACAACAAAAGAAAAAACUUGCGCAACACAACAAUAUUUUUUUUUAUUUUACCUCGUGUUUAUUGUUGUUGUCCAAUUUAAAAAGCGAUUCAAAACGACAGGCGAAUUAACCCAAAAUAAACCGGCUAAACGUGCGCGCGUUGCUUUAGCUCCUUUUUUUGUUUUGUUCAAAAAAGGGCAGGGUUCUCGGUUUAACAUCAAAGAAAAGUGUAACGAUUAACGAACUUUUUAUUUAAACAAAAAUAAAAUUAUUUUACGAAAAUUUAAAAAAUUAUAAACGAACGAGCAGCUCAGCUGUUUUUUGUUGUUUUCAAAUUAAGUUUUGGCAAACAUUGGAUACACCAAACAAUACGGUAAUGAAAUAGUCGUCUAUUGUUGUCGGUGUCGGUGACUGUGUCUGUGGUAUUAAAUUAACAGCUGUUUGAAGGAUGUGUGAACAACACUGGGCUUUUAAUGAGAAGAAAAAAUAAAAUUAUUUGUAGUGAACGGAUACAACAAGAUGAAUGUAUCUCAAUAUCUUUUGUAAAAAAAAAAUAAUACAAAAACAAAAAACGAAGAAAAAAAAUAAAUAAAAACAAAACCGCAAAGUAAAGAGUUUUUCUAAAAUACAAAAGCAACAACAACAACAGCAGCAGGCAGAAAUUUUUGUAUUUUGUUGGGUUUUUGGUGUGUGAGCUCGUUAGUUUAUUUAUUCAACGACCGAUACCGUGUGUGGACAUUAUUUUCCGAAACGCGCAACAUAACACAACACACAACUGCAACAUAUUUUCUUAAAAAAAAUUAAACGAAUUUGUACAAAAAAUUAUUUAAAACAAAACAAUUUUUAAAUUAAUUUUAAUUUAAUAAAAAACAAAAUAUCUACAAGAUAUGUUAAACUAAAACAAAAU